GCAUUGCUAAGGAGUCCAACAAUAGGACGAAACAGCUGUUCAGUGC
rnacentral:hammerhead_ribozyme from 1 species